UGAGGGAAUAUUUGGGGUCAAUGGGCGAGAGCCUGAACCAGCCAAGUAGCGUGCAGGAUGACGGCCCUAUGGGUUGUAAACUGCUUUUAUAAGGGAAUAAAGUGGGGCUCGUGAGCUCUUUUGCAUGUACCUUAUGAAUAAGGACCGGCUAAUUCCGUGCCAGCAGCCGCGGUAAUACGGAAGGUCCGGGCGUUAUCCGGAUUUAUUGGGUUUAAAGGGAGCGUAGGCCGCAGGUUAAGCGUGUUGUGAAAUGUAGGGGCUCAACCUCUGCACCGCAGCGCGAACUGGUGCCCUUGAGUACGCACGACGUUGGCGGAAUUCGCCGUGUAGCGGUGAAAUGCUUAGAUAUGGCGAAGAACUCCGAUUGCGAAGGCAGCUGACGGGAGCGCUACUGACGCUCAUGCUCGAAAGCGCGGGGUAUCGAACAGGGAUUAGAUACCCU
rnacentral:rRNA from 1 species